GGGGAAUUUUGGACAAUGGGCGUAAGCCUGAUCCAGCCAUGCCGCGUGCGGGAAGAAGGCCUUCGGGUUGUACACCGCUUUUGUCAGGGAAGAAAUCCUUUGGGCUAAUACCCCGGGGGGAUGACGGUACCUGAAGAAUAAGCACCGGCUAACUACGUGCCAGCGGCCGCGGUAAUACGUAGGGUGCAAGCGUUAAUCGGAAUUACUGGGCGUAAAGCGUGCGCAGGCGGUUUUGUAAGACAGAGGUGAAAUCCCCGGGCUCAACCUGGGAACUGCCUUUGUGACUGCAAGGCUUGAGUGCGGCAGAGGGGGAUGGAAUUCCGCGUGUAGCAGUGAAAUGCGUAGAUAUGCGGAGGAACACCGAUGGCGAAGGCAAUCCCCUGGGCCUGCACUGACGCUCAUGCACGAAAGCGUGGGGAGCAAAC
rnacentral:rRNA from 1 species